rnacentral:rRNA from 1 species
AGUGAACGCUGGCGGUAGGCCUAACACAUGCAAGUCGAACGGCAGCACAGUAAGAGCUUGCUCUUACGGGUGGCGAGUGGCGGACGGGUGAGGAAUACAUCGGAAUCUACUUUUUCGUGGGGGAUAACGUAGGGAGACUUACGCUAAUACCGCAUACGACCUACGGGUGAAAGCAGGGGAUCUUCGGACCUUGCGCGAUUGAAUGAGCCGAUGUCGGAUUAGCUAGUUGGCGGGGUAAAGGCCCACCAAGGCGACGAUCCGUAGCUGGUCUGAGAGGAUGAUCAGCCACACUGGAACUGAGACACGGUCCAGGCUCCUACGGGAGGCAGCAGUGGGGAAUAUUGGACAAUGGGCGCAAGCCUGAUCCAGCCAUACCGCGUGGGUGAAGAAGGCCUUCGGGUUGUAAAGCCCUUUUGUUGGGAAAGAAAAGCAGCAGGUUAAUACCCCGCUGUUCUGACGGUACCCAAAGAAUAAGCACCGGCUAACUUCGUG